rnacentral:tRNA from 1 species
GUCAGGAUGGCCGAGCGGUCUAAGGCGCCGACUCAGAUUCUGGUCCACUGAUGUGGGCGUGGGUUCGAAUCCCACUCCUGACA